CGCGCGCCUAAGCCUUUAGAAAGGAGCCGAGUUAUCGACUCCGCUGCCGCAGUAAAACGCGCGACAGUGUUCGCUUCGCGAAGAGAUGUGGUUCCGUUCGAGGAAGCGGAGGCGAAGCUCGGGUUCCCAAAGUUACACGGGUGCCCCCCGCAGGCGAGUGCUUACACCUGCGUGAGCAGCUGCGGAAUAAAAGCUGGGGGAAACUUUGCCGAAUUCGAAAAUCAAAAGGUGGGGACGGCCGGCAGCGUGUGCUGGUUUCCCUCGCAGCCUCCAGCUCGCAAGGGCUUAUCCAGAAGCCUAAAGCGGACGCUGUCGCUAAGCGAAGAGGCAGCUCCACGGUGCCCGGGGGGGGAGGAUCGCGGCAGCUCGCCCGGGUCUCCCCUCCGGCGGGCGGCGGCCUCCCGCGUCGCUCGGCUGCAGGCAAGAACAGGCCUCGCCACGGCCCCUCACGCGGCCCCUCCUCCCGGCCGCCGACCCCAGGCCUUCCCGGUUCUGCAAAGCGCCAGCGCACCGCGCAGCUCGGGAGGACGGGGAAACAGAAAGAGGCUUUUCCCACCUUGUGGCCUCCUGCCUGCCUGUGAAGAGGAGCUAAGCAGCACCCGGAGAGGUAGAGGUUUCUGUUGCAUUGAACUGUGAACGGGUUGAACUCCUGAGAUGUCCAGAUUGGGUGAAAAAUUGAUGAAAGCUCAUUUUAAUUUAUAUUAUGUAAAAUUGUUGUUGAAAGAAAGCAAGGAAGCACAGAAUGGAGCUGGAAGAGUGAACUGUGUGUGAACUCUGUAAUGCUGAACUAAGGCACCUGGYGCAGCUGUAGAAUUUCUUUUGCAACACACUGUGCUGUCCCUAUGAUGAGACUGUAUGUGUCAUUUUUCUUUGAUAUGAUGUACAUAUUUAGCUGUUGGUUUUUCUCCCUGUAUAAAUGAGUGCUUCCUGCCUGUUAAUCACUUUUAUGACUGUUCUCUGCAGUUUCUCAGAUUUGUUAAUAUCCUUCUGGUAAUGAGAGGUUAGGAGGUUAACUGCGCCUGGA
rnacentral:lncRNA from 1 species